rnacentral:rRNA from 1 species
AAACCUUCCAGUCUUGACAUCCGUGACCGUUUGGAGACAUGCUUUUCCUUGGGGACACGGUGACAGUGGUGCAUGGUUGUCGUCAGCUCGUGUCGUGAGAUGUUGGUUAAGUCCCGCAACGAGCGCAACCCUUGAUCUUAGUUGCCAGCAUUUAGUUGGGCACUCUAAGGUGACUGCCGGUGACAAACCGGAGGAAGGUGGGGAUGACGUCAAAUCAUCAUGCCCCUUAUGACCUGGGCUACACACGUGCUACAAUGGAUGAUACAGAGGGUUGCCAACCCGCGAGGGGGAGCUAAUCCCAUAAAAUCAUUCCCAGUUCGGAUUGGCAGGUCUGCAACUCGCCUCCAUGAAGCCGGAAUCGCUAGUAAUCGU